GACGAACGCUGGCGGCGUGCUUAACACAUGCAAGUCGAACGGGAUUUAGUAGACAGAAGCCUCGGCUAAAGAUUACUAAUGAGAGUGGCGAACGGGUGAGUAACGCGUGAGCAACCUGCCUAUGACAGUGGGAUAGCCUCGGGAAACCGGGAUUAAUACCGCAUAAAAUCGUAGAAACACAUGUUUUAACGGUCAAAGAUUUAUCGGUCAUAGAUGGGCUCGCGUCUGAUUAGCUAGUUGGUGAGAUAACAGCCCACCAAGGCGACGAUCAGUAGCCGGUCUGAGAGGAUCAACGGCCACAUUGGAACUGAGACACGGUCCAAACUCCUACGGGAGGCAGCAGUGGGGAAUAUUGCACAAUGGGGGAAACCCUGAUGCAGCGACGCCGCGUGAACGAAGAAGGUAUUCGUAUCGUAAAGUUCUGUCCUAUGGGAAGAUAAUGACAGUACCAUAGAAGAAAGCUCCGGCUAAAUACGUG
rnacentral:rRNA from 1 species